AUUGAACGCUGGCGGCAGGCCUAACACAUGCAAGUCGAGCGAGCGGCGGACGGGUGAGUAAUGUCUGGGAAACUGCCUGAUGGAGGGGGAUCACUACUGGAAACGGUAGCUAAUACCGCAUACCAUCAGAUGUGCCCAGAUGGGAUUAGCUAGUAGGUGGGGGAAUGGCGCACCUAGGCGACGAUCCCUAGCUGGUCUGCGAGGAUGACCAGCCACACGGGAACCGAGACACGGUCCAGACUCCUACGGGAGGCAGCAGUGGGGAAUAUGGCACAAGUGGCGCAAGCCUGAUGCAGCCAUGCCGCGUGUGUGAAGAAGGCCUUCGGGUUGUAAAGCACUUUCAGCGGGGAGGCGUUACCCGCAGAAGAAGCACCGGCUAACGCCGUGCCAGCAGCCGCGGUAAUUC
rnacentral:rRNA from 1 species